rnacentral:rRNA from 1 species
UACAGAGGCGGCAAGCGUUGUUCGGAAUUAUUGGGCGUAAAGAGCACGUAGGCGGCUGUGUAAGUCGGUUGUGAAAGCCUUCCGCUCAACGGAAGAACGGCAGCCGAUACUGCAUGGCUUGAGUGCGGGAGGGGAGAGUGGAACUUCUGGUGGAGCGGUGAAAUGCGUAGAUAUCAGAAGGAACGCCGGCGGCGAAAGCGGCUCUCUGGCCCAUAACUGACGCUGAGUGUGCGAAAGCUAGGGGAGCAAACGGG